rnacentral:rRNA from 1 species
CCGGUGGACAAACCGGAGGAAGGUGGGGAUGACGUCAACGUCGAUCGAUGGCCCUUACGGCCUGGGCUACACACGUGCUACAAGUGGUCGGUACAAAGGGUUGCCAAGCCGCGAGGUGGAGCUAAAUCCCAUAAAACCGAUCGUAGUCCGGAUCGCAGUCUGCAACUCGACUGCGUGAAGUCGGAAUCGCUAGUAAUCGUGAAUCAGAAUGUCACGGUGAAUACGUUCCCGGGCCUU